UACUUCGUGGCGCAGUGGUAGCGCGCUCGGCUCACCACCGAGAGAUCCCGGGUUCGAAUCCUGGGCGAAGAGAAA